UACGGAGGGUCCGAGCGUUAAUCGGAAUUACUGGGCGUAAAGCGCGCGUAGGUGGUUCAGUCAGUCAGAUGUGAAAGCCCCGGGCUCAACCUGGGAACUGCACCUGAUACUGCUGAGCUAGAGUACGGUAGAGGGCAGUGGAAUUUCCGGUGUAGCGGUGAAAUGCGUAGAGAUCGGAAGGAACACCAGUGGCGAAGGCGACUGCCUGGACUGAUACUGACACUGAGGUGCGAAAGCGUGGGUAGCAAACAGGAUUAGAUACCCUGGUAGUCCACGCCGUAAACGAUGUCAACUAGCCGUUGGAGGACUUGAUCCUUUAGUGGCGAAGCUAACGCGAUAAGUUGACCGCCUGGGGAGUACGGCCGCAAGGUUAAA
rnacentral:rRNA from 1 species